AUGGCCGGGCUGGCGUCAGCCCGCGAGCUGCGCCGGGAGGGCCACGACGUGACGGUGCUGGAGCAGAACGCCGACGUGGGCGGGCAGUGGCUGUACGACCCGAGGAGCGAUGGCGCCGACGACCCGCUCGGCGCCGCGGAGACGGUGAAGGUGCACGGCAGCCUGUACGCGUCCCUCCGCGCCAUCAGCGCCAGGGAGAACAUGGGGUUCACCGACUUCCACUUCGCGCCCAAGGACGGCCGCGACGGCCGCCGCUUCCCGGGCCACCGCGAGGUGCAGCUCUACCUCAGGGACUUCUGCGACGCGUUCGGGCUCAUGGAGGCGGUCCGGCUCAACACGCGUGUCCUGCGCGUCGCCAUGGCGGUGGCUCCGACGCGGAAGUGGACGGUGAGGUCCGUACACGAGGGCACGGAGGAGGAGGAGGUCUUCGACGCCGUCGUCGUGGCGAACGGCCACUACUCGCAGCCGAGGCUGCCAAGCAUCCAGGGCAUGGAGGCGUGGAGGGGGAGGCAGAUGCACAGCCACUCGUACAGGGUGCCGGAGCCGUUCCGGGGCGACGUGGUGGUGGUGGUCGGGUGCGGGGCGAGCGGCAAGGACAUCGCCAUGGAGGUCCGCGGGGUCGCCAAGGAGGUGCACCUCGUGGCCAAGUCCAUGGAGGAGGUCACCCCCGGGCUCGCCAAAGUGCUCGCCAAGCAUAGCGCCAACCUGCACCUGCAACUGCACGUGGAGCGCCUGUGCGAGGACGGGCUGGUGGUGUUCGGCGGCGGCGGCUCCGGCGUCCUCGCCGACACCAUCAUCUACUGCACGGGGUACAAUUACUCUUUCCCGUUCCUGCACACGGCGGGGGCGGUCACCGUCGACGACAACCGCGUCGGCCCGCUGUUCGAGCACGUGUUCCCGCCGUCGCUGGCGCCGUCGCUCUCCUUCGUCGGCAUACCCAUAAAGGUGUUUGCGCCCCGGUUCUUCGAGGCUCAGGCGAAAUGGGGGGCGCAGGUGCUGUCAGGGAGGAGGACGCUGCCGCCGGAGCAGGAGAUGAUGCGGUCCGUGGAGGAGUAUUACCGUGCCAGGGAGAUCGCGGGCGUGCCCAAGAAGUACACCCACGACGUCUGCUUGUCUGAGACCAUGCCCACGGUACGAACAACAAAUUUAGCAGACUCCCUAAAAAGAGGGAUCGACUAUGCAUCCUACCUGAAAAAAGAGCAUCUGUCAGUCACUUAUAUUCUAGACCGUCUGAUCUUCAUCCAACGACUGUGA
rnacentral:rRNA from 1 species